rnacentral:rRNA from 1 species
GGCGGCGUGCUUAACACAUGCAAGUCGAACGGAAAGGCCCUGCUUUUGUGGGGUGCUCGAGUGGCGAACGGGUGAGUAACACGUGAGUAACCUGCCCUUGACUUUGGGAUAACUUCAGGAAACUGGGGCUAAUACCGGAUAGGAGCUCCUGCUGCAUGGUGGGGGUUGGAAAGUUUCGGCGGUUGGGGAUGGACUCGCGGCUUAUCAGCUUGUUGGUGGGGUAGUGGCUUACCAAGGCUUUGACGGGUAGCCGGCCUGAGAGGGUGACCGGCCACAUUGGGACUGAGAUACGGCCCAGACUCCUACGGGAGGCAGCAGUGGGGAAUAUUGCACAAUGGGCGGAAGCCUGAUGCAGCAACGCCGCGUGCGGGAUGACGGCCUUCGGGUUGUAAACCGCUUUCGCCUGUGACGAAGCGUGAGUGACGGUAAUGGGUAAAGAAGCACCGGCUAACUACGUGCCAGCAGCCGCGGUGAUACGUAGGGUGCGAGCGUUGUCCGGAUUUAUUGGGCGUAAAGGGCUCGUAGGUGGUUGAUCGCGUCGGAAGUGUAAUCUUGGGGCUUAACCCUGAGCGUGCUUUCGAUACGGGUUGACUUGAAGAAGGUAGGGGAGAAUGGAAUUCCUGGUGGAGCGGUGGAAUGCGCAGAUAUCAGGAGGAACACCAGUGGCGAAAGCGGUUCUCUGGGCCUUUCCUGACGCUGAAGAGCGAAAGCGUGGGGAGCGAACAGGCUUAGAUACCCUGGUAGUCCACGCUGUAAACGGUGGGUACUAGGUGUGGGGUCCAUUCCCCGGGGUUCCGUGCCGUAGCUAACGCUUUUAGUCCCCCGCCUGGGGAGUACCGCCCGCAGGCUAAAAACUCAAAGGAAAUUGACGGGGGCCCCGCACAAGCGGCGGAGCAUGCGGAUUAAUUCGAUGCAACGCGUAGAACCUUACCUGGGUUUGACAUGGAUCGGGAGUGCUCAGAGAUGGGUGUGCCUCUUUUGGGGUCGGUUCACAGGUGGUGCAUGGCUGUCGUCAGCUCGUGUCGUGAGAUGUUGGGUUAAGUCCCGCAACGAGCGCAACCCUUGUUCACUGUUGCCAGCACGUUAUGGUGGGGACUCAGUGGAGACCGCCGGGGUCAACUCGGAGGAAGGUGGGGAUGACGUCAAGUCAUCAUGCCCCUUAUGUCCAGGGCUUCACGCAUGCUACAAUGGCUGGUACAGAGAGUGGCGAGCCUGUGAGGGUGAGCGAAUCUCGGAAAGCCGGUCUCAGUUCGGAUUGGGGUCUGCAACUCGACCUCAUGAAGUCGGAGUCGCUAGUAAUCGCAGAUCAGCAACGCUGCGGUGAAUACGUUCCCGGGGCUUGUACACACCGCCCGUCAAGUCAUGAAAGUUGGUAACACCCGAAGCCGGUGGCCUAACCGUUGUGGGGGAGCCGUCGAAGGUGGGACUGGUGAUUAGG